rnacentral:rRNA from 1 species
UACGGGGGGGGCAAGCGUUGUUCGGAAUUACUGGGCGUAAAGGGCCAGUAGGCGGCCAACUAAGUCGGAUGUGAAAUCCCCAGGCUUAACCUGGGAACUGCAUCCGAUACUGGAUGGCUUGAAUUCGGGAGAGGGAUGCAGAAUUCCAGGUGUAGCGGUGAAAUGCGUAGAUAUCUGGAGGAAUACCGGUGGCGAAGGCGGCGACCUGGGUGGAUACUGACGCUGAGGCGCGAAAGCGUGGGGAGCAAACAGG